rnacentral:rRNA from 1 species
UACAGAGGUCUCAAGCGUUGUUCGGAUUCAUUGGGCGUAAAGGGUGCGUAGGUGGCGCUGUAAGUCGGGUGUGAAAUUUCGGAGCUUAACUCCGAAACUGCAUUCGAUACUGCGGUGCUUGAGGACUGGAGAGGAGACUGGAAUUCAUGGUGUAGCAGUGAAAUGCGUAGAGAUCAUGAGGAAGACCAGUGGCGAAGGCGGGUCUCUGGACAGUUCCUGACACUGGAGACACGAAGGCCAGGGGAGCAAACGGG